GAUGAACGCUAGCUACAGGCUUAACACAUGCAAGUCGAGGGGCAGCAGGGAUUUAGCUUGCUAAAUCCGCUGGCGACCGGCGCACGGGUGCGUAACGCGUAUCCAACUUUCCCGUUACUCAGGGAUAGCCUUCCGAAAGGGAGAUUAAUACCUGAUGGUGUUUGAAGUUCGCAUGUUCUUCAAACUAAAGAUUUAUCGGUAACGGAUAGGGAUGCGUGACAUUAGAUAGUAGGCGGGGUAACGGCCCACCUAGUCUACGAUGUCUAGGGUUCUGAGAGGAAGGUCCCCCACACUGGAACUGAGACACGGUCCAGACUCCUACGGGAGGCAGCAGUGAGGAAUAUUGGUCAAGGGGGGGUNUCGGAGAGACUGAACCAGCCAUGCCGCGUGAAGGUCACGGCCCUAGUGGUCUUAACUUCUUUGUAAGGAGCAAUAAGGUGUACGUGUACAUCGAUGAGAGUACCUUACGAAUAAG
rnacentral:rRNA from 1 species